CUGGAUAUUUCUCCUUCUGAUGGGAAGGGAUGAAGCGGCACCCCCAAACUGCAACCAGCAACACAUUUUCGAUAAGGCAUCCUGUUAUACAAAUAAUAUACAACAGCAGAUUAUAACUAAAAAUUAAUCUAGCGCAAAACCCGUGCACGGUGCACGAAUUGCAGAAUUUUCCUAUUGGUGAGACGGCACAACAACAAACAUACGCAGAAAAUUAUUUGCAAUGGCUGUAAAAUAUGUCAGAUCAAAACCCUGACUUAGCUGUUAUAUUUCGCCGUUAAAUUGUUGAGGAAGAAAUAUGUCUCAAGUUAAAACACGACAAUCGACGAGGUGUCCUGUCUGUGGUUUGCCGGACCUGUUUCUCACUUACCUACGUUUGGAUUCAGCAACGGAGUUAGCUGUGGUAACUCCUGAAUUAAUCCCGAAAAAUGCAAUUAAU